AUGAGCUUGAGGAGGUUUUUCCGAGCGACCAGGGACGAGGACUUCAGUCAGAUCCAGUAUCUGACGGCCAAAUGCACCAGGCUGGCUCGAGAUAAAGCAGAGCUGGACAGGGAGUGUGUUCUGUCCAGAGAAAAGCAGCGGAUGCUGCAGGAGGAACUGGAAGCUGCAGCUUCUCAGAUCUUUCAUCAGACGCAUCAGAACAUGGAGCUACGGAGGAACCAGGACCGACUGAUCAACAGGAUCCGACAGCAGCAGGAGCUGGUGGAGCUGCUCCAUCAACGUGUGGUCCUCCUGGUGGAGGAGAGCUGUCGGGAUGCAGAGCUGCUACGACAGGUGGGCUCCGAGCUGCUGUGUGUGCAGAACUCUGAGGGGAAGCUGGAGGGCCUGGUGGAGGAGCUGCACCACGAGGCCCAGCGCAGAGCUGCAGAGGCCGAAGGCCUCCAGAUGAAGCUGCACGCAGAGGCCCAGCACAGAGCUGCGCUGACAGAGAGCCUCCUCACAGAGCUGCACGGUAAGACAGUGGAGCUGCAGAAGCUUCAGGCCAUGAACAGAACUCUGACGGACGAGAUGAAGGAUCUACGUAGAUCUCACCACCAGGAGGUGAUGAAGCUGCAGCAGGAGAACAAAGGGAGUCUAAAGAAACUGCAGCAGACAGCAGAGCAGUUUGAGUGGCUUUGUCAGCAGCAGAAACACUGGAUGCUUUGUGUUAAAAGGUUCAAAGACUGUCUGAUGGAGGAGAGGGAAGCUCGAGUACUGGAGAAGAAGACCUUGGAUGACCAAAGACCAUCACCAAGUCUACACUACCGCCCCCUGCUGGACACACAGAACUCUAACAGUGUAACAUCAUGGGACGUCGAUGCAGUGACUAAGCAGGAAUGUGAUGACGUGAAGAAGUCGUCCAUGUUGUAUGAGGAGAUCUUUAAACAGGUGUGUGCGUGUGUGUGUGCGUGUGUGUGUGCGUGUGUGUGUGCGUGUGUGUGUGCGUGUGUGUGCGUGUGUGUGUGUGUGUGUGUGUGUGUUCAUUGAGCUUGGACAUGGGGCGCCAAAUGUAGAAACUCGGUCACUGUUCCAUAGCUGACAUAUUUUGAACAUUUAGUUCAUUUUUCUUUCGCUUUAAACAGAAUUUCAUGUAAAACAGCAUGUUCUGUAUCAUUGUCAAAAAUGUGUACACAUGAAAACUAAAUCUAAAUGUAAAUGUUAAAUCUAAAUGUAAAUGUUAAAUCUAAAUGUAAAUG
rnacentral:lncRNA from 1 species